rnacentral:lncRNA from 1 species
UUUUAUAAGAGUGUCCAAAAGGUAAACCUCUUCAAAAUUUCCAUUCCUAACUCCUAAAGCAUCAGGACCAAGACCAACCAAUUCUCCAUUUUUACUACCAUAAAGUGUGUGGGGAUGAAUAUUGAGUGGAGAACAUUGUUGAUAUUUCCAUUUGUUUGGUGGUGGUGGUGAUGAGUACUCACUCCUUCUGCUGUUUCACUUCUUGAUGUUCUUCUCUUGAUGAAGAACAUUUACAAGUAGAGAUGAGGGUAUAUAGAAAAAUAAAACUAUCAUGUAUAAAACGUUAUUCUUGGUUGCUAGAGCAAAGAGAGUGUUAAGUUGAGUUAGUCUGAGAUUAUGUGAGAUGAUUUGGGAUUGUAAGUGA